AACGGGAAAGAAAUCCCGUGCUCUUGACAUCCAGAGAAUUUCGCAGAGAUGCUUUGGUGCCUUCGGGAACUCUGAGACAGGUGCCGCAUGGCUGUCCUCAGCUCGUGUUGUGAAUUGUGGGUUUAAGUCCCUCAACGAGCGCAACCCUUAUCUUUUGUUCCCAGCGGUACGGUCGGGAACUCAAAGGAGACGGCCAGUGAUAAACUGGAGGAAGGUGGGGAUGACGUCAAGUCAUCAUGGCCCUUACGACAAGGGUUCCCCCCGUGCUACAAUGCAACAUCCAAAGAGAAGCGAGCUCGCGAGGGCAAGCAAACCACAUAAAGUAAGUCCUAGCCCGGAUCGGACUCGCAAACUGGACUCCAGGAAGUCGGAAUCGCUAGAAAUCGUGGAUCAGAAGUUACACGGGAAUA
rnacentral:rRNA from 1 species